rnacentral:rRNA from 1 species
GAUGAACGCUGGCGGCGUGCCUAAUACAUGCAAGUCGAGCGAACAGACGAGGAGCUUGCUCCUCUGACGUUAGCGGCGGACGGGUGAGUAACACGUGGAUAACCUACCUAUAAGACUGGGAUAACUUCGGGAAACCGGAGCUAAUACCGGAUAAUAUAUUGAACCGCAUGGUUCAAUAGUGAAAGACGGUUUUGCUGUCACUUAUCGAUGGAUCCGCGCCUCAUUAGCUAGUUGGUAAGGUAACGGCUUACCAAGGCAACGAUGCGUAGCCGACCUGAGAGGGUGAUCGGCCACACUGGAACUGAGACACGGUCCAGACUCCUACGGGAGGCAGCAGUAGGGAAUCUUACGCAAUGGGCGAAAGCCUGACGGAGCAACGCCGCGUGAGUGAUGAAGGUCUUCGGAUCGUAAAACUCUGUUAUUAGGGAUGAACAAAUGUGUAAGUAACUAUGCACGUCUUGACGGUACCUAAUCAGAAAGCCACGGCUAACUACGUG